rnacentral:misc_RNA from 1 species
GAAAUGCGAUAAGUAAUGUGAAUUGCAGAAUUCGGUGAAUCAUCGAAUCUUUGAACGCACCUUGCGCUCCUUGGUAUUCCUUGGAGCAUGCCUGUUUAAGUAUCAUGAAAUCUUCAAAGUAAAUCUUUUGUUAACUCAAUUGGUUUCUACUUUGGUAUUGGAGGUCUUUGCAGCUUCACACCUGCUCCUCUUUGUUCAUUAGCUGGAUCUCAGUGUUAUGCUUGGUUCCACUCGGCGUGAUAAGUUAUCUAUCGCUGAGGACACUGUAAAAGGUGGCCAAGGUAAAUGCAGAUGAACCGCUUCUAAUAGUCCAUUGACUUGGACAAUACUUUUAUGAUCUGAUCUCAAAUCAGGUAGGACUACCCGCUGAACUUAAGC